UGAGAAUACAGAUUUAGUGGUAAAACGGUUUGACGUCUAUUUUUAGCAUACACGUGAUCCAUAAAGUGAUCUCUCAUAUUGUUUAUGUACACACGCAUACACACACACAUUCAUAUAUAAAUGCAUUGAUAUAUAAAUGCAUACAUGUCUACAUUCAAAACUUUGUAUCUUUUCCAUGUUUGUUAGAAACCAGCUCCGUCCUCAGAGGAAGAAUUCAAAUGAUUAUAAAUGGGAGUGAAUAUGCAUGCACCUAUGCGUAAUCACACACACGCACGCCCAACGCCGACGCACAGACGCACGCAUGCGCGCACACACAUCUCAUUAUAUUGGUAUAUAUUUCAAACUAAACCUCCGAUCAUCUUCAGCUACGAAGCCAGCCAGUCAUUUACGCGUUAAUUUAAAAUAAAAUGGCACCCAGCUGCUGGAGCUUGCAGCACUCAUUAAGCAAUAAAUGACUAUUAUGAUAAUAAUAAUUAUAAGCUCGAAUUUUAACUGGAAAAACAAAACGAAACAAAAAAGAUAAAGAUUAAAAAAAUAAAUAACCACAACGGAAAUUGCUCCCGACAUAAAAUUAAAUGCAGCAAGGAAGACGGUCGAAACAAAUUCUACAAAACUAUGACUAUGUAUUGUGUUGUCACACUUAUCAGGAAGCAACAGUGAAAACAGAAUGUUUCGGCUGAUAUACCCUUCAAAAUCAUCAGGUGUAUGGGGAAAUCAUCAGGUGUCUUGGGGAAAUCAUCAGGUGUCUUGGGGAAAUCAUCAGGUGUCUCGAAAGUAAUGUCAGCCAUUGAGAAAGAGGGAGAAACCUCCUCGUCGAAACAAAACUCCAGAAGAAAACCUAAACAUCCAGAUAGGGACCUUCGGACUCUUAAGCGAAUUAUUAGAAAGGAUCACAAAAGUACAGAUCCCAAAAUGACUACAGAGUUUAAUGACCACCUCGAGAACCCAGUUUCCACAAAAACUGUUCGCCAGGAGCUGCACAAAGCCAGAUUUCACUAGAGGACUGUAAUCAGAAAACCACUACUUUCAAAAACAAACCUUGCAAAGCAUUUAGAGUGGAGUAAAAACCCACAGAACUGGUCCCUAGAGCAAUGGAAGAAUGAUAUUUUGUCGGACGAGGUAAGCUGGCAGAAACGUUAGCACACCAGGCAAAAUGCUUAACGGUAUUUCGUCCGUCUUUACGUUCUAAGUUCAAAUUCCGCCCGGGUCGACUUUGGCAUGCAUCCUUUCGGGCUCGACAAUGUUAGUACCAGCUGGAAACUGGGAUCAAUGUCACCAACUUUCAACUUUACCCAAAACUGCUGGCUUUGUACUUAAACUUGAAAUCAAAAUUUCGAUCCUUUCAAUAAGCAUAUAUCACAAAUAUGAUUACAUUUGCUUGAUAUUCUCUUUGUCAAAUGCAUCCUUCUUUAGAUGACCACAUAUUUUGAAAUGUGUGACAGAGAGAAUAUGUAUUAAGAGGGUAAUUAUACGUUUCCAAUAAUGAAAAAUAGCUGGAAAAUAGCAGCUACAAGCGAUGAUAACAAACGAGAAGCAACUAGUCUUACUUUUAAAUAAAAGUCACGUA